rnacentral:rRNA from 1 species
AGGGUUUGAUCAUGGCUCAGAUUGAACGCUGGCGGCAGGCCUAACACAUGCAAGUCGAGCGAGAAAGCACUUCGGUGCGAGUACAGCGGCGGACGGGUGAGUAACGCGUAGGAAUCUACCUGGUAGUGGGGGACAACUCGGGGAAACUCGAGCUAAUACCGCAUACGCCCUUCGGGGGAAAGCGGGGGAUCUUCGGACCUCGCGCUAUUGGAUGAGCCUGCGUCGGAUUAGCUUGUUGGUGAGGUAAAAGCUCACCAAGGCGACGAUCCGUAGCUGGUCUGAGAGGAUGAUCAGCCACACUGGGACUGAGACACGGCCCAGACUCCUACGGGAGGCAGCAGUGGGGAAUAUUGCGCAAUGGGGGCAACCCUGACGCAGCCAUGCCGCGUGUGUGAAGAAGGCCUUAGGGUUGUAAAGCACUUUCAAAAGGGAAGAAAAGCUGUACGUUAAUAGCGUGCAGCCCUGACAUUACCUUUAGAAGAAGCACCGGCUAACUCCGUGCCAGCAGCCGCGGUAAUACGGAGGGUGCGAGCGUUAAUCGGAAUUACUGGGCGUAAAGCGCGCGUAGGUGGUUUGUUAAGUCAGCUGUGAAAGCCCCGGGCUCAACCUGGGAAUUGCAGUUGAUACUGGCAAGCUAGAGUACGAGAGAGGGAGGUAGAAUUCCAUGUGUAGCGGUGAAAUGCGUAGAUAUAUGGAGGAAUACCAGUGGCGAAGGCGGCCUCCUGGCUCGAUACU